AAUGCCAUCAAAGUCAAAAAAAUUAACGCGGUAAAAUUAGAUUUUAUAAUGGUCACAUCACAUUUGACUUGAGUUUUUGACCCAUAUACUUAUCAUACUUAUGUAUAUACUAUAUUAUUUAUCUAUGUUUUUGACCAGUGCUUGGUACUUUGUUGAUCUGAGCAUCGUUUCUUCGUUUGGCAUACCCACUGAUACCACGGUUUUUUUUCUAUUAACCAUCUAUUAACAUAGACCCCAAUUUGUUUUGUCUGGGCUUAUUUUGCUACCUAUUGACCUGUGCCUGGUGGUCUGCUGAGUAUCGUCGUUAUUUCGUUUUGCAUAUUACUGAUACCAUAAUUAGGAAGUUUUUUUUUAUUAACCAUGUAUUAACAUAGACCCCAAUUUGUUUUAUCUGGAAUUUUAAAAUGAAAGACAGCUACUAUCCUCUGGCAAUUUAUAAGCCACCGAGGAGCCAGUGGAAGUAUGACAAAUUGUCUAAAUUUAUCAAAACAAAAGUAAACGCUAAGUUAUAUGUCUUUAUUAUUUUGAGGAUCAUUACUGAACGAUACAGAAAAAUGUUAGCCAAAUCCUGUGACGCA
rnacentral:lncRNA from 1 species